rnacentral:rRNA from 1 species
UACGAAGGGGGCUAGCGUUGUUCGGAAUUACUGGGCGUAAAGCGCGCGUAGGCGGUGAUCUUUGUCAGAGGUGAAAUCCCGGGGCUCAACUCCGGAAUUGCCUUUGAAACGGGAUCGCUAGAGUCCGAGAGAGGAUGGCGGAAUUCCUAGUGUAGAGGUGAAAUUCGUAGAUAUUAGGAAGAACACCGGUGGCGAAGGCG